rnacentral:rRNA from 1 species
GACGAACGCUGGCGGCGUGCUUAACACAUGCAAGUCGAACGGAAAGGCCCUGCUUUUGUGGGGUGCUCGAGUGGCGAACGGGUGAGUAACACGUGAGUAACCUGCCCUUGACUUUGGGAUAACUUCAGGAAACUGGGGCUAAUACCGGAUAGGAGCUCCUGCUGCAUGGUGGGGGUUGGAAAGUUUCGGCGGUUGGGGAUGGACUCGCGGCUUAUCAGCUUGUUGGUGGGGUAGUGGCUUACCAAGGCUUUGACGGGUAGCCGGCCUGAGAGGGUGACCGGCCACAUUGGGACUGAGAUACGGCCCAGACUCCUACGGGAGGCAGCGGUGGAGAAUAGUGCACAAUGGGCGGCAGCCUGGUGCAGCAACGCCGGGUGCGAGAUGACGGCUUUCGGGUUAUAAACCGCUUUCGCCUGUGACGAAGCGUGAGUGACGGUAACGAGUAAAGAAGCACCGGCUAACUACGUG